UGCCAGCAGCCGCGGUAAUACAGAGGGUGCAAGCGUUAAUCGGAAUUACUGGGCGUAAAGCGCACGUAGGUGGUUCAUUAAGUCAGAUGUGAAAGCCCCGGGCUCAACCUGGGAACUGCAUUUGAAACUGGUGGGCUAGAGUAUGGUAGAGGUAAGUGGAAUUCCAGGUGUAGCGGUGAAAUGCGUAGAUAUCUGGAGGAACAUCAGUGGCAAAGGCGACUUACUGGACCAAUACUGACACUGAGGUGCGAAAGCGUGGGGAGCAAACAGGAUUAGAUA
rnacentral:rRNA from 1 species